GAUGAACGCUGGCGGCGUGCCUAAUACAUGCAAGUCGAGCGAACGGACGAGAAGCUUGCUUCUCUGAUGUUAGCGGCGGACGGGUGAGUAACACGUGGAUAACCUCCCUAUAAGACUGGGAUAACUUCGGGAAACCGGAUCUAAUACCGUAUAAUAUUUUGAACCGCAUGGUUCAAAAGUGAAAUACGGUCUUGCUGUCACUUAUAGAUGGAUCCGCGCUGCAUUAUCUAGUUGGUAAGUUAACGGCUUACCAAGGCAACGAUGCAUAGCCGACCUGAGAGGGGGGUCGGCCACACUGGAACUGAGACACGGUCCAGACUCCUACGGGAGGGAGCAGUAGGGAAUCUUCCGCAAUGGGCGAAAGCCUGACGGAGCAACGCCGAGUGAGUGAUGAAGGUCUUCGGAUCGUAAAACUCUGUUAUUAGGGAAGAACAUAUGUGUAAGUAACUGUGCACAUCUUGACGGUACCUAGUCAGAAAGCCACGGCUAACUACGUG
rnacentral:rRNA from 1 species